rnacentral:rRNA from 1 species
CGGCANCGCGGGGCAACCUGGCGGCGAGUGGCGAANGGGUGAGUAAUAUAUCGGAACGUGCCCUGGAGUGGGGGAUAACGCAGCGAAAGUUGCGCUAAUACCGCAUACGAUCUAAGGAUGAAAGCGGGGGAUUCGCAAGAACCUCGUGCUCCUGGAGCGGCCGAUNUCNGNNNNNNUAGUUGGUGGGGUAAAGGCCUACCAAGGCAUCGAUCAGUAGCUGGUCUGAGAGGACGACCAGCCACACUGGAACUGAGACACGGUCCAGACUCCUACGGGAGGCAGCAGUGGGGAAUUUUGGACAAUGGGCGAAAGCCUGAUCCAGCAAUGCCGCGUGAGUGAAGAAGGCCUUCGGGUUGUAAAGCUCUUUUGUCAGGGAAGAAACGGUGCGGGCUAAUAUCCCGCACUAAUGACGGUACCUGAAGAAUAAGCACCGGCUAACUACGUGCCAACAGCCGCGGUAAUACNUUU